rnacentral:lncRNA from 1 species
GCCAUGAAUCACCUGACUGUCAUUUUGCUGUUUGCAGUUUGUGGUAAGCUGAGGCGUGAGAUGAUCUUCAGGUCUCUCCUACACACUGCCACAGAAGUGGAUUCAAACCUACGUUUCCAUGCUGUUAGAUACGCAUCGACAAGCGCCGACGUCCUCACAGCCACAAGCACAGGCCAAAGCCUCCUGGGUUGGGGCGUCUCCCAACCAGGCCGGGCCUCAUGCUGAUCCUCCCACCGCAGCUACUCCGACACUUUACAGGCACGCACACGCAGCAGUGGCAGGCGGUGACCCCGCGCCCGGCCAGCCCGCCGUUCUGAG